CUACCACUCAGCAGCUGUGGGUCUUUGGGAAAAGUUAUUUUAAACCUGGGUUCAUCCCAUCUCUAGUGACUGCUGAUUGUGUGCCCGGCCUCAGAACCCAAUGAAUGUUCUGAAGUUCUCCACCCUACCUCCUUCAUUAAGGUCUUAUAAAAAUAUCUACUGACUUAUAUUCUUCUCAAUGAAGCCUCUUAAAAAAAUAAAAAUGAAUAUUCUACAUAAUAAAUGGGAGAGGGAAUCACGCCAUAUCAAUUACUGGUUGGGCGUUGAUGAGUUUUCAGAGCCAAGAAUCCCUGGGAAGGUGCUGUUACAUAGAAAUGAUCAUGGUUAGGCCACAGGUUGUUAACUUCAACUCUGUGGAAAAUCAGUCCAGUAGUUUUCUUCUACAGAAGAUAGCUUUUUCCCAUAAAAGAAAACCUAGCAAUAAAAAUUAAACUUCUUUACUAGGAAAAAAAUGUAGCUAGCUAGAAUGACCAAAUUAUAAUAGUCUACAUUUCAUCUCUUGUAUCCUUUACUACUUAUGUAAGGGGGGGAAAAGAAAAAGAAUUAACAUUUUGCAUUUCUGGCUCCUUUCAUAAGAAAAACAUCAUUACCUUUCUGAUUGUGUUUUGAACAAACACAGAUCCUUCAGGAAGAAACUCAUCCCUGUGGGGAUUGAGAAAGGAUCAGAGUUAAGCACUGAAACAAGCAAUUAAUUCCCAUUAGAGGAUUAAGGCACUCAUGUUCACUUUGAAUCAGAAAAACAAAUUGUGAAUAAAAUCAUGUACAACCAAGAGGUUACUUGUCAAAGUUAAUAAAUUAGAGAAUUGAAGGGCCAACUGGAAUGCACAGGGGAGGCUGAGCACCACAGGCAGGCACACUGGUAGGGUUUCAUAUUUGUGGGAUAAGAUCGGCCAUCCUCUUUAAAUGCCACAGAGCCAUGGCAGGGACUGGGGUGGGGGUGGGGGGUCACGGUUUGUUAUAAUGCUGUCCUUCCACUAACAGAUGGGGUCUAUGAGAGGACGUCUAAAAGUGUUUUUCAACCCUGUUAUAUCACCAUCCACCACACAUGGAUUACCCUACAAUAUCAACGAGAGAGAGACACGAGAUGCUAACAUUAUUCAGUGUGGCAGGAGCCGAUUCUAAAUGACCUGAAGCACCAUCUCUGCCAACAUUACCAGCAUAUUCAGGACUGAGUGGGAGGCCACUGCUGCACUAAGGUCUCAGGACCCUCCACUUGGGAGUCGAGGAGCCCAAAACUGAACCCCUGUCCCAAACCAACUGGUUGGGAAUGACGUGGACAGUGAGGGGUCAGUAGGGAGGUGGGACAGGCACAGAAACUUUUACUUCAGCAAAUUUUGGUUGCUUUAGCACUGUCAAUAUUUCAGAACACGAAACCACCCGUGGAAGUGCCCAUCUGGCCUGGCGCUGCUGGAAACGCCUGCCCCUUGCUCAGCAGUUUUCAGUCUUCAAACACAGCCCGUCUAUAGUUUCGUAUUUCAUCGCUGAAGCAGAAAUUGAAAGUGAUUACGAAUCAUUCCCAUAAUUGUUGGAUUUUUCCUGCUUAAUUUUUUUCUUAGCCACCUGGUGGUAAGAGUGUAAAAAGCAGGGUUUCAGUAAGAGUUCAUUGUGCUAGUUUACAAACGGCAGCUAUCGCAAAGGCUGAGACCACACUUAGAAACACACGUACCAGGUGAAGCAAAGGGCUAAUGGUGAACUGUUCUCAAACUUACUGGCAAAGCGACUUCAAUGGGCACCAGCUUCUAACAUGAAAACAACCUUUAAGUAAAGGCACCUCCAUAAAAUAUUCAUCCCGCAUGGAUUAAAAUGUAAUGAAAUGGGGAAACAUUAGUAAAUCUGUAUGUUUUCUUGGAUAAUUCAUCAAGCCGCUAACACUGUUCACUGCCUGGUGUCAAAUUAAGAGGGUUCGAGAAGGUGGGUGAAGUGGCGGGAUUUGGGUGGCACAAAACUCAGCGCCUAGGAGCCGGCCCUGCCUCUUGGCACUGCACUAUUUCCAGAAACGCCUACCCCAGAGAAGUGUGCGAUUGUCGGGCCUGUCUUCUCCCAUCUUCUCCCCCUUCUCCUGCCGUAUGAAGCCGCUGUCAGCAUUGGCUCCCGCAGACCCCGGCCACCCUGUCACAACUGAGGACCCACUUCAGCAAAGCCAGCUGCCACCCUAGUCCUUCCGUGGCCGCCAGCCGCCCUUAGCAGAUGUCACCAAGUGUGGCCGGAUCUCGGAUUUGUGGUGGCCUCCCUUAGUCACUUUCUGGAACCCAACAUGCAGUACAAGGCCAGAAGACUUCUUCCCGGAAGGUGAAGCAGCCCUAGGAGCUGGGGCUGAGGGAGCAGUGAAUCAGCUGCUGGGAUUCAGACUCAGGCCCCACCAGCUAUCCUUGCCCACCCAGGGCCCGUCCACUGUUGCUGACUGAGCGGAGGUUCCCACACUUGGCUACUAAGAAACACAGCAAAUGAUCUGCCUGUUAGAGUAUAUCUGCAAGCCUGCUAGAGAAGAGUGGAGCUCUUCCCCGACAUGCUGGCAGCUGCUCAAGGUAUGUUCAUGCCACCUGGCACAAGCCCUUGGGUCAAGAGAAAGAGCCAAGAAUCUGCACCGUGUCCCAACCCAGUGUCUGUCUACAGGGCAGGGCAAAGGGGCCAGUGGGUCUGGUUAGAGGCAGGUAACUUGCAUCUCGUAUGCCCCCAAAGGUCUUUGUUUUUCCUCCAUGACAACUCAGGCCCACAAGCAGCAGAGGGAAGGGGAAGGACUAUCCUUUAGUGUACUACUGAAAGGUUUUUUCAGAAACAUUUUAAGUCUGUAGUAACAAAAUGGUUUUUAUUCAACUGAUCUGCUUUCCUAGGUGAGAAUGGGAAGCUUGGAAGUGCAACUUACAUGUGAGUCAGAAGCAACACAGAACUAUUACAAAAUGUCAUACAAAGCCAUGCUUUUUUAGGUAGUGUGCUAACAAACUAUUCUAGAAAGAAGAGAACAUACACCUGUUUAAACAACUCUAAGAUAACGCUUUAGAAGUCAGGCCUACCCAAAAGUGAAUAAACUUGUUACGAAUGCAGGUGAGGGUUCCUGGCUAGGUCUGAGCCCUCACUCCCUCUACUUAAUAUAGUAUUUCAUAGCUUUACAGAAACAAGCCUCCCAGAAGGACCACUAGACAGAUAGCUGGGAAAUCAGAGGUCAAAGCCAAGCCCCUGCUGACUGUCAGAGGGGCCUGUUUCACCCAGCCACAUGAGGCAAGGCCACAGCAGGUGGCAGUGGGGGGUGUGGGCACCCUGGGCUCGGCUGCCCUGGGACCCGGGAUCCACAGGGGGCAGAUCACAGGCCUCUCCGAAUGACAUGGGACAGAACUAAAUUAGCGAAAGGACUCUGGAAGAUGACCAGCAGAUACAACUGCAAAGCUCCAGAGCACGACCUAGACCACCAAAGUGGCCCUGAGCAUCACUUGGAAACCACCAGCACACGUGGCUCCCACCCACUGGCGUGUCCAGUGCUCCCGGCCCCAUGCUCCCCUGCCAGUUGGCACUGCCAGCCCACAGUGAAUCAGCAAUGAGCCAAACUCCGUUCCCAGUGGGCUCUGGAAUUCAGGACUUAAUUCUUCCGGUAACAGAUCUACCUUCAGAAUUACCUUUGCUGAGAAUAUUGUUAAAUCCUGUCUAAAUUCUCUGCAAAGGUGCUGGCUACCCACAGGAAGUCAGGUAGGCGAGGGGGAGGAAUGCAGACCUAGAGGGAAGGUAACUGCCUGCUGGAGCACCAGGAGGACCGCCCCCGGUGCACAUGUGACACACGGAUCUCCGUUUUUAAACAGUUCUUAAAAAGAAAUAAGCUUUCUUAAAAAUAAAAGCACAGAAUAUUAAGCCUAAUGUGGGUUUUGAUUAAUUACCUGUCCCCAAAGCAUUCAAAUCCUUCCGGUGCUUUUCUCAUUCCCUCAGUUCAACUCAAUUAAAACAGUUGAGAGGCAGCAAAAACUGAAUUAUAAGAAAGAAGUGGGGAGGAAAUGAAGGCUAUGUUACUGAACAUGCUUUUAAAUACUUCACAUAAAGUGGAUCCAUUUACUCACAUUCCUGUGGGGCCUAAACACGCAGCUGGUCACUGUUUGCUGAUGGCAGCCAGAACUCUUUGGGUCCAAAACUACUAGAAAAAUGUGUUGGGUUUCAAGGGAACUGAAUGCACUGAACUGAAUCCAAUCCUUUCAUGUACGAAAAUCCCACCAAUGUUUUUUUCAAUCCCACUUUAAAAGCUACAUUAUCACUAGGACCAGCUGACAGAAGUCAGUAGCAUUGAGGCUGAACACACCAUUCUUCCUCAGGGUCCAUGACACUUUGGCCUCUCUAGUGUUCGGGGAUGGAUCCCAGGACUCAAAAUAUUACUAAAAAGCCAAUCUGGUCUAACUUGGCUUUUAAAAAACACUUAAAAGCCAAUAUAGAGUCUGUUCCUGGGAAGAGCAAAAUCCAGUUAGAAUGUAAAAUUCUGUUGUUACUAUUUUGUGGUUAUCAAAGAACAGAUACUGCUAUAUUUAGUUUAAACACUUUUUCAAACUUAUUUCAAAACAACAGAACAAUAGCUUUGUUUUUCCAUUACUGGAUAUAUUUUUUUUAGGUUUAUAAAUGUUCUUUCAAUCAUGAUAAACAGAAGUACUCAGGGAAGCUACCAUGGGUUUACUCAAACAUUUUCCUAAUCAAAUAGCCCAAGGAUUUUAGUUUUUUGUUUAUAGGAGCUUUGUCAUUUUCCUUGCCCAAAAGACUUUCUUACUAAAAAACAAACAAAAAGCCAUGUUGUAUGUAUAAACACAAAGAGAAGAAAAUAAGGUGUCUCUCCUCUCCACCCUCCUCUAUCCUGGGACCAACCAGCCUGUGGUCAGUAGGAGGAAAAACCAUCUCCCCACUCCAGCCAGAGCUGGUAGUAACAGAUGUCAUCUGGUAUCUCAGGAGUUUCCCUCAAAUGACAAAGCAAUCCGCCUCCCCCCCCCCCCCGCCCCCCGAGGUGAUGCUUCACCAACUACAAACUAAAGGUUAAAGACAGUCCCACUUGAAGCCCCCUAGUUAAAGUAGCUGUGCAACUCUCUACCAGUCCUUUGAGUGGGCGCCCACAGCCAGGACCCCUGGGCUCUGCUGUCCAGUGUGACAUGGUGCAGAGGCAGCAGGGGAGGGCGAGGAAGGGGAGCUCCAGAAAGAGCCGCCUCUCUCUGCAUCAUCCCCCAGCUUCCCAAGGAGGGAAGGACACCACCAGGCCACAGUUGCCCAAAGGAGCUGAUCCUUCAAAAUUCAUGCAAAUUUGGCAUUCUAUCACUAUAACAAAGAUUUCAACUAUUUUUAAGUUAAGGAAUUCUCUCUCCCUCCUACCGUUCCAAUCUUGGAAUAAAGACAGUUCUUUAGAGAGCAGGUCCCUGUCUCAUAGCGAGAGCAAGACCAAUGCAGACCAGGUGGACUGUACCUCUUUCCCAGGUGCUAAACACCUGAGAUUUACAUUAAAAGAUGAUUAUAAGACACACUGUGGGGAGGCCAAUGAGACACGCCUGGGGAAGCAGGGCAUCACAGGUCCCGAAGGAGAAUGACUAUCUGAACAGCAGAGUCUUUGAAGAGAAACAGGAAAGAGGUGGACACAAGUCAGGGGAUGGUUAGGGGACAAAUGGGUGGUUUGAGCAGGAGGACGGCCUGGGCAUGCCUGGGGGUCAGGGCAUGAGUGUGAGGCCAGGACUAUAGGGGAAGAGACAGAGGAGGGAGGCUGGGUCCGGGUCACUAGAGACCUAACUCUCAGCCCUAUGUGAUGGGGUAACUAAGGGUAUUAAGCCUGAGAGGUGACAUGGUAAGAUUUGUGUUUUAAAAAAUUAUCUAGUGCAACCCCAGUGGAAGACUGCUUGACAUAUUCUGAUCAGCACUAUUUAUAAUAACUCAAAUGCAGAUUCUACCCAAAUAUCCCUCAACAGUAAUUAAAACAGGCUAAUAAAGUGUGGUAUACUGUGGAAAACUCCACAGCAGUGAGAACGAAUGGACAACUACAUGUAACAACAUGGAUGAAUCUCACAAGCAAUGCUGAGUGACAGAAGUCAGGCAGAAACAGUACAUACUGUAUGACUGUAUUUAUAAGAACAUGAAUAAUAGCCAGACUGACCUCUGCUGCUGGAUGUCAGGACAGUGGUUACUGCCAAGGAAAGACAUGAGCACACUUGAUUUGGGUGCUGCUUACACAGUGUCUUCCUAUUAUGAUUCCUAUCAUGCUAUAUGAUUUCCACACUUUUCUGAUGUGUUAUACUUUCAUAAAAUUGCAUUUUACAUUUUUAAAACACAUAUAGUAAUAGAGUAGAGGACAGACUUCCAGGAAGGAGGAAAAGAAGAAUAAAUUAAGCCUAAAGUUUGCAGAAGGAAGGAAUAACAAAGAUCAGGGCAGAAAUAAAUAGAGGCCAGAAAAAUAGAAAACAUCAAUGAAACUAAGAGCUGUUUUCUUUUAAGAUAAAAUUGACAAAACUUUAGCUAGACUAAGAAAAAAAGAGAGAAGACUAAAGUACAUAAAAUCAGAAUAAAAAGAGGAGGCAUUACAGUUGACACCACAGGAAUACAUAGGACCACAGGAGACCCCUAUGAAUAAUUAUCUGCCAACAAAUUGGACAACUACAAAAAACUGAUAGAUUCCUAGAAACAUACAACUUAUUAAGAUAGAUCGGUGGAGAAACAAUAUAUGAACGGACUAUUAACAAGGAAAGAGACCAAGUCAGUGAUCAAAAACCUCCCAACCAAGAAAAUCCCAGGACCACAUGGUUUCACUGAAUUCCACCUUAAUGCCAAUCCUUCUCAAACUCAGCCAGAAACUUGAAGAGAUGGGAAUACUCCCAAACUUAUUUUACAAGUCCAGCAUUAACCUGAUACCAAAGCCAAAUAACAACACCACAAGAAGACUACAGACUCAUGUUACGGAUGAAUACAGAUGCAAAAAUUCUUAACAAAAUAUUAGCAAACCAAACUCAACAGCACAUUAAAAGGAUCAUACACCAUAAUCAAGUGGGAUUUAUCCCUGGAUGCAAAGAUGGUUCAACACACACAAGUCAACAAAUAUGACAAAUAUGACAUUAAUAGAAUGAAAGAUAAAAUCAUACGAUCAUCUCGAUAGAUGCAGAAAAAGCAUUUGACAAAACCACAACAUCCUUUCACGAUAGAAACUCUCAACAAACUAGGUACAGAAGGAACAUACCUCAUCAUAAUAAAGUUUAUAUAUGACAAACCCACAGCUGACAACAUAAUAGUGAAAACCUUAAAGCUUUUCCUCUAACAUUAGGAAAAAGACAAGGAUGCCCACUCUCACCAGUCUUAUUCAACAUACUACUAGAAGUCCUGGCCAGAGCAGUCAGGCUAGA